UACAGAGGGUGCGAGCGUUGUCCGGAAUCACUGGGCGUAAAGGGCGCGUAGGUGGCGCGGCAAGUCAGUGGUGAAAGCUCGACGCUCAACGUCGAGUCGGCCACUGAUACUGCCGGGCUUGAGCACUGUAGAGGCAGAUGGAAUUCCGGGUGUAGCGGUGGAAUGCGUAGAGAUCCGGAAGAACACCGGUGGCGAAGGCGGUCUGCUGGGCAGUUGCUGACACUGAGGCGCGACAGCGUGGGGAGCAAACAGG
rnacentral:rRNA from 1 species